GUUUUAGGACUCCAGGGAUAAUUUCUAUAGUGUCAAGGUAGAGAAGAACGUUCAAAAAUGGUUGGCAGAGCGAACCAUGAGGAGGAAUCCAGUGUCCUCUUCUGAGCACAAAACGAGUGGGCAGUGCUGUAUUUCUGUAGCUCUUGCUUAUUAUUGAUGACCGUUCUGCCUUCCUUUUAUAAGCAGCUUGAAGGGAGAGAACGCAAACUGAUUAGC